UAGGGAAUCUUCGGCAAUGGACGAAAGUCUGACCGAGCAACGCCGCGUGAGUGAAGAAGGUUUUCGGAUCGUAAAACUCUGAUGUUAGAGAAGAACAAGGACGUUAGUAACUGAACGUCCCCUGACGGUAUCUAACCAGAAAGCCACGGCUAACUACGUGCCAGCAGCCGCGGUAAUACGUAGGUGGCAAGCGUUGUCCGGAUUUAUUGGGCGUAAAGCGAGCGCAGGCGGUUUCUUAAGUCUGAUGUGAAAGCCCCCGGCUCAACCGGGGAGGGUUAUUGGAAACUGGGAGACUUGAGUGCAGAAGAGGAGAGUGGAAUUCCAUGUGUUGCGGUGAAAUGCGUAGAUAUAUGGAGGAACACCAGUGGCGAAGGCGACUCUCUGGUCUGUAACUGACGCUGAGGCUCGAAAGCGUGGGGAGCAAACAGG
rnacentral:rRNA from 1 species